CCUACGGGUGGCUGCAGUGGGGAAUAUUGGACAAUGGGGGGAACCCUGAUCCAGCCAUGCCGCGUGUGUGAAGAAGGCCCUCGGGUUGUAAAGCACUUUCAGUGAGGAAGAACGCCUGGUGGUUAAUACCCAUCAGGAAAGACAUCACUCACAGAAGAAGCACCGGCUAACUCCGUGCCAGCAGCCGCGGUAAUACGGAGGGUGCGAGCGUUAAUCGGAAUUACUGGGCGUAAAGCGCGCGUAGGUGGCUUGAUAAGCCGGUUGUGAAAGCCCCGGGCUCAACCUGGGAACGGCAUCCGGAACUGUCAAGCUAGAGUGCAGGAGAGGAAGGUAGAAUUCCCGGUGUAGCGGUGAAAUGCGUAGAGAUCGGGAGGAAUACCAGUGGCGAAGGCGGCCUUCUGGACUGACACUGACACUGAGGUGCGAAAGCGUGGGUAGCAAACAGGAUUAGAUCCCUAGUAGUC
rnacentral:rRNA from 1 species